rnacentral:rRNA from 1 species
AAUCAACGCUGGCGGCGUGCCUAACACAUGCAAGUCGCGCGCGAAAGGGGGGCAACGUCCCGAGUAAAGCGGCGAACGGGUGAGUAACACGUGGGUAAUCUACCUUCGAGUGGGGAACAACACCGGGAAACUGGUGCUAAUUCCGCAUGACAUCGUCGGGGCUUCGGUUCUGACGCUCAAAGCUGGGGAUCGCAAGACCUAGCGCUUGAAGAUGAGCCCGNGUCCGAUUAGCUAGNGCGGGGUAUGGCCACCAAGGCUUCGAUCGGUAGCCGGCCUGAGAGGGCGGACGGCCACACUGGAACUGAGACACGGUCCAGACUCCUACGGGAGCAGCAGUGGGGAAUUCUU